UUGGACCGUAGCGAGACGCCCGACCGCGAAAGCAUUUGCCAAGAAUGUCUUCAUUAAUCAAGAACGAAAGUCAGAGGUUCGAAGGCGAUCAGAUACCGCCCUAGUUCUGACCGUAAACGAUACCAACUAGCGUUCCGUCAUCGGUAAAUAUGCCUUGACGGGCAGCCCCCCGGAAACGAAAGUGUUUCGGUUCCGGGGGAAGUAUGGUUGCAAAGCUGAAACUUAAAGAGAUUGACGGAAGGGCACCACCAGGAGUGGAGCCUGCGGCUUAAUUUGACUCAACACGGGAAAACUCACCUGGCCCGGACACCGUGAGGAUUGACAGAUUGAGAGCUCUUUCUUGAUUCGGUGGUUGGUGGCGCAUGGCCGUUCGUGGUUCGUGGAUUGGUCUGUCAGGUUUAUUCCGAUAACGAGCGAGACUCUGACCUACUAAAUAGUGUCUAGAUUAUUUUUGUCUUGACGACUUCUUAGAGGGACAAGCGGUGUUCAGCCGCAUGAAGUUGAGCAAUAACAGAUCUGUGAUGCCCUU
rnacentral:rRNA from 1 species